rnacentral:rRNA from 1 species
AUGGAAUUGAGUUUGUCUCAUACGCUUCAUCUUUUUAAUAUCUUUCGUGAGUAUGAUGGAAAGGAUAAUUGUGCUCAAGUGCUAGAAGAAGAGAUCUCUAAAAUGUUUGGCACUAAAUAUUUGAAUGAUGAGCAUGAUUGCAAUGUUGUUAGUACGAAUUCUUUGAAUAUCCAUGAUGCUAAUGAUGGUUGCACUAGUUAUGAUGAAAAUGCCUCCUAUAAACAUGUCAAUUUUUGUGGAGUAGACUGGGUUUGCAAGUACACACCAAAUAGGGAAGAUAGAUAUUGCAAGAGGCAUAAGUACUUAGAAACCAAAUUGUUGCAAGAAGAGCUAGAUGAAUGUGCUGAAAAUUUAUCUUUUCUAAGCCCUACUUCUGAACUUUGCAAUGAACGUGAUCAUUUUGUACCCAAUGCAAAUUGUUUCCUGAGCGUAUCGUGUCCAAAAAUUGUGAUGACUUGA